rnacentral:lncRNA from 1 species
GCGCGUCGGGACCGGCGCCCCCGUCUACCUCGCCGCCGUCCUCGAGUACCUCGCCGCCGAGCUGCUGGAGCUCGCCGGGAACGCCGCCAAGGACAACAAGAAGAGCCGCAUCAUCCCCCGCCACCUGCUGCUCGCCGUCAGGAACGACGAGGAGCUCGGCAAGCUGCUGGCCGGCGUCACCAUCGCGCACGGCGGCGUCAUCCCCAAGAUCAACCCGGUGCUGCUCCCCAAGAAGACGGCGGAGAAGGAGGGCAAGGCGCCCAAGUCCCCCAAGAAGACUGCCAAGUCGCCCAAGAAGGCCGCCACCCCGAAGAAGGCCUAAGAGAUGCGUUCUGAGUUGUUUAGUCUGUGUGCUGUGUAGUGUUCGUCUGAAUAGCGGAGUGAAGGUGUUCUGUCUAGUUGUCGAUGUAACCUGUGUUGUGAUGGAAGAAAUUCAGAAAUCUCUUUUGAGUUUCCAAAUAUGCUGCUGUCUUGAGUCAGUGCACCGGAAAUUUGCAUCAUUUAGGCGCGACUUGUUGCCCGUGUCGCUGAAAUUGGCAAGCGAAUUUUUGCAUACGGCAGUUGUUCGGCUCAUGCUUGUGGAUUCAGUUUACUGCUCCGGAAUUUUUUAUUUGAG